UUGCUAAACAUUGUUUUUGAAGAUUUUGAAUGAAAGAAAAGUUUAAAAGCUCUCUUGAGUAUCUAAAGAACAUCACUGAUGUCACUGCUCGGUGGACGGUAGUUCUCCGUGGUCUUGCUAUCCUUCUUGCGGAAGACACUACAGACUUCCUGAAAACAAACAUGGACUGUGAUGGUGACCCACCUAAACUAUCAAUAGGAAUUCUCAUUCUGGUGCCGGAGGACAGACACAUUUCUCCACAUGGUUUACAGCAAUUAUUUGGUAGGGUGUCACAGCCAUGGAUGGACUUGAGAAAGUAUCACAUGCCAUGUGUUUAGUUUUUGGACUGAUCGUUGUUUUAAAUAUGGAGUACCCCUUCACAGCUUAUUUUUCUUUCCCUGGGGCACAAAUCACUAAAGUCAAAACUGCCAUCACUACAAAACAUACUAAUGUGAAGUAGUGUGUUUUGUGUGAAACAAGUCCGUGUUACUGUAGAUCUGUUGCAUUUUGGGGUUUUUAUUUUUCGUCAACCUGGAUACAAGUUCCAGAAAAACUCAACUUUAAUUGCUGCAAAACUUUGAUGUUUUAGUUAAGCUGUAUUUUGCGUGUUUCUGAUGGCAGAAACAAGAUUGUUACUGUAGGUCUGUUGAUGCAAUUUGUGAUUUUUUUAUCAGUCACAUGCCAACCUGGAUACAAAACCAAAACUGCAGUCACUAAAAAAAACCUAGUUUUGAAUUUGUUUGUCAAGGUGUGUUCAUUGUGUUUGUAAUAACAGAAACAAGACUGUCUUGGGUCUAUUGUUGCAUUUUGGGUAUC